rnacentral:rRNA from 1 species
AGACCAUGCAUCUAGUCUGACGGAGCAUGCCGCGUGAGGGAUGAAGGCCUGUGGGUUGUAAACCUCUUUUCUCAAGGAAGAAGAUCUGACGGUACUUGAUGAAUAAGCCACGGCUAAUUCCGUGCCAGCAGCCGCGGUAAUACGGGAGAGGCAAGCGUUAUCCGGAAUUAUUGGGCGUAAAGCGUCCGCAGGCGGUCCUUCAAGUCUGCUGUUAAAAAGUGGAGCUUAACUCCAUCAUGGCAGUGGAAACUGUUGGGCUUGAGUGUGGUAGGGGCAGAGGGAAUUCCCGGUGUAGCGGUGAAAUGCGUAGAUAUCGGGAAGAACACCAGUGGCGAAGGCGCUCUGCUGGGCCAUCACUGACGCUCAUGGACGAAAGCCAGGGGAGCGAAAGGGAUUAGAUACCCCUGUAGUCAAA